rnacentral:rRNA from 1 species
CCUACGGGAGGCAGCAGUAAGGAAUAUUGGUCAAUGGGCGCAAGCCUGAACCAGCCACGCCGCGUGCAGGAAGACGGCCCUCUGGGUUGUAAACUGCUUUUAUACGGGAAGAAAAACUCCCUCGUGAGGGAGCUUGACGGUACUGUACGAAUAAGGAUCGGCUAACUCCGUGCCAGCAGCCGCGGUAAUACGGAGGAUCCAAGCGUUAUCCGGAUUUAUUGGGUUUAAAGGGUGCGUAGGUGGAAGAAUAAGUCAGGGGUGAAAGCCGGCAGCUUAACUGUCGAACUGCCUUUGAUACUGUUUUUCUUGAGUUUGGUUGAAGUGGGCGGAAUGUGACAUGUAGCGGUGAAAUGCGUAGAGAUGUCCCAGAACACCGAUUGCGAAGGCAGCUCACUAAGCCAACACUGACACUGAUGCACGAAAGCGUGGGGAGCAAACAGGAUUAGAUACCCUGGUAGUCCACGCCGUAAACGAUGAUGACUCGACGUUAGCGAUAUACUGUUAGCGUCCAAGCGAAAGCGUUAAGUCAUCCACCUGGGAAGUACGAUCGCAAGGUUGAAACUCAAAGGAAUUGACGG